GUGGGGAAUAUUGGACAAUGGGCGAAAGCCUGAUCCAGCCAUGCCGCGUGUGUGAAGAAUGUCUUCGGAUUGUAAAGCACUUUAAGUUGGGAGGAAGGGCAGUAAGUUAAUACCUUGCUGUUUUGACGUUACCGACAGAAUAAGCACCGGCUAACUUCGUGCCAGCAGCCGCGGUAAUACGAAGGGUGCAAGCGUUAAUCGGAAUUACUGGGCGUAAAGCGCGCGUAGGUGGUUUUGUAAGUUGGAGGUGAAAUCCCCGGGCUCAACCUGGGAACUGCCUCCAAAACUGCAUGACUAGAGUACGGUAGAGGGUAGUGGAAUUUCCUGUGUAGCGGUGAAAUGCGUAGAUAUAGGAAGGAACACCAGUGGCGAAGGCGACUACCUGGACUGAUACUGACACUGAGGUGCGAAAGCGUGGGGAGCAAACAGGAUUAGAAACCCCAGUAGUCC
rnacentral:rRNA from 1 species